CAUGCUUCUGCCUUAAUUGAUUGCUUUGUUUACAAAUCCUAUUGGCCCUGACCUGAUGUCCUUUUAAUCCUUGUGUCAGAGUGGCCAGCCAAGGGAAGAUCAGGGUCAAAGAAUGAUGUAACCAUUUUGGGAGUCACUCAGUCACAGAGCAAGAGGGGAGGGUGGAGUCGGCCUGAAGGAAAAGGGACAGUUGGAGUCCCACUACGAGAUAUGAAGGAGAGUCUGAGGAGCGGGGUGGCGAAAGAGAUUUCUACGAUUCAAUUCACAUUACAUCCUUGCCUUACCUUUCGUUGUCGCUGGCAAUGCAACAUUCUUGGGCCGCAGCUCAAAUUGACCGUAAAUUUCACAGUAACCUCUAACCAUUAAGCACAAACUAUUCAACAAUGACAGAAAAGUUUAUUUUAAAACAUAUUACACGCUUGAAUAAUACAACAAUUCACAAGCAUGUACAGUAUGUGCAGACAAUUAAAGGGUUUAUUUUCCCGUCUGUAGGCUACACUCAUUACAUUUUAGCUUCAAGACGAAAGCACAGAGAUGCUAACAGCAUGUAAUGUUAACCUAUCAAAAAUGAAUGAUUAUCCCACUCCUACAAAUAUAAAUGUAUAGUAGGCCUACCUAUCAACAUUACAACAAAGCAGACUUAAUUUUUAUCAGUGUCAUGCAAAUCAUUUAAAAUAAAUUGUGACUGAAAAUGUGGAUAUACUGUCAGUGAAUUCACCCCCACAAAGUGUUUUAUAUGGAAGCUCAUACCCACCACCAAAUGUUUUAAAUUAAAUAAAAUGCCUCAUGAAUUGUUUCACUUGCACAAUUAGUCUAAUCCCUUCUGGGAAUGGCCAGGGGAAACGUAGCAUCAUGUUUUUACAGCCUAAGCUACGUAUUUUUUGCCUAAAAUUGGCUCAUUUAUUAUUCAAUCAACACAGUAGUGAUGACAUACUGUUUGAGUAUCUUUUUAAUUACAGAUCCAAAAGCCUACCCGAUGCAACCCUGCAUACAGAGAGCUCAGCCCUGUUUGCUUGUUUGUUUUGUCCAAUCACACUGUUGUCUCUGUUUGUGAAAAGGUUUUUAAUGUUUUCAUUCUCCCUAGGGCCAGGAGGUGUUUAAAAAAAAAAA